CACCGGCGAGCACCCAAACACCUUCCCUACUACUGAAAUCAGCUAGAAACAACUAACAAAGUCGUGGUUCUAUGCCUAGAGCACCACCAUGAUCAGUGCAAAUAUGCCAGAAUCACAAUCCACCGUCACCUAGAUUUUGCUCUAACGGCAGCACAACCAUCAAACCACACACAGCUGAAUAUCUCAAUCUACUGUCAACAAUUGCUUGUAA
rnacentral:lncRNA from 1 species